UACGAAGGGGGCUAGCGUUGCUCGGAAUCACUGGGCGUAAAGCGCACGUAGGCGGCUUUUUAAGUCAGAGGUGAAAUCCUGGAGCUCAACUCCAGAACUGCCUUCGAUACUGGGAGUCUCGAGUUCGGGAGAGGUGAGUGGAACUGCGAGUGUAGAGGUGAAAUUCGUAGAUAUUCGCAAGAACACCAGUGGCGAAGGCGGCUCACUGGCCCGAUACUGACGCUGAGGUGCGAAAGCGUGGGGAGCAAACAGG
rnacentral:rRNA from 1 species